rnacentral:lncRNA from 1 species
GACCGUCCAACUAUCACAGAAGACAGGUAAACUGGUUCGAGGAAGUAGGAAAGCAAAGAACCUGAAGAGAGAGAAAUGAGAAUGCUACCAAGUAAAAGCAGUCAUUGUACCUAACUGCCAAUCUAGCAGAACAAUGAUAUCACAAAAUGCAGCCUUAUCUUAAGGCAGGGGACUGGAAAAGACAUGGAAGCCCAAGAAACAGGGAAAAUCCAAGAAAGUAGCAGGAGGUUCAUUAUGUCUCAUUAUGCAAUAAGCAGCCAGCCCUAGCUUCUGACCAUUCCUAGAUAGAAGGAACAAACCUUGAACACCAACAAUGUUCCAUCUUGCUAUCUUAUCUGAGCAACAGACUGACAGUGUAGCAUCACCACGUCCAGGCUUUCUCUGAACAGAGGCAACGAUUGGUAACUCAUCUCCUGUGAUUGAACAUAUGAACAGAUUUAUGGAGAGAGAGAGAGUAAGUUAGUAAGGAGAAAUGAUUCCAAAGCCGCAUCACUUGUCAAAGAAUAGUUACAUGAUGUCAUUUUCACACAAGCUAUUGCACAAUAAAGUUGUAAAUUGCUAAUAUGUAAAGUUCACUGCUCAAUUCAACAGGCCAAACAACAGAAAACUGACUAGUGAUCCACAUCGUUAACUCAUGAAUUUGCAGAGAAAGGAACACAUUGAAUUAAAGAAUGUAUUAGAAUGACAACCAGAGAAAAUCAAAAUGUAGGAAUUCUAGGGCCUGCAUGGAAACACUUCUUGUUUCUGUUUCUGAACACUUUUUUUGUUUUUUUGUUCCUGGAACAAAAUUAAAACAAAAAAAAGAAACAAAAAAAACUUACUUCUUGUUCCAGAAACGAUUUUAAAGAAAUACUUCUUCUUCUCUCUCUUCUCUUUUCUUCUUCUUUUCUUCUUCUUUUCUUCUUCUUUUUUUUUUGGCCGGUCACCGGCCUCGGCCAUGGCCGGUGACCGGCCGUCGAGGGCCGGUGACGCCGUCGAGGGUCGGCAACCUCGCCGGAGCAUCGCCAGCCCCCGGCGAGCCUCGCCGUGGCUGGGCGAGGCUGCCGGCCCCGUCGGUCGGUCGCCGGCCUCCAGUGACCGGCCGAAAGAAGAAAAAAUAAAAAAGAAAUGAAAAAUAAAAUUAAAAAAUUAAAAAAUUAAAAGAAACAAAAAAAGAAUAAAAUCUACCAAACGUGUUUCUAUUCAUUUUUUAUUCCCGGAACAAACAUUACCAAACAAGUUCUUUUAUUCAAAAACUAUUCCCCGGAACAGAAAUACCUGGAACAAAAAGAGAACAGGAACGUUACCAUGCAGCCCCCUAAUCCUUCUUGGUCCACUCUAAUAUGAUCCUACGUCUUAUGCUCCAGCUCCCUCUUAAACCCAAAAUUAUAUAAAUAAAUAAAUAAAAAUCCAGCAUUCACACACAUUUCUCAUGCAUUUCAACACGGGAUCAUUUUGGGUUCAUUUGUAGAUAAAAUAUAAAUUAUUAGCAUUUCAGCAUCAAUUGUAACAUGUGGUAGAAUCCCAACCAACAAAAAUCUUUCCAGCACAUUAGAAAACCAGAGCAAGAUGUUGCAUGAAAAUGAAUCAUCCAGAUAAUUCACAAACAGAAGGAACCCAAAAAAGAAAUGUUAAUCAGUCAAGGAGCUUAACUCUUCCAUUACCAUGUGUAUUCAACAUAUCCUCUGAAACCGUUCUUCCCGUGUCUUCCACCAUUGAUGGUACCUUGACUUCAUUUUCUUCCAUCAUUGCAGAUAUUUUAUGAGGCAACAGGGAGGGGGGAGGAGCAACUCCGCCUACGCAUACAACAGAAAGAUUCAUAAGCUUAUAAAACUCAACCACAUCGUCGACUGUUCAAUUAUCGAAAGGAAGUAGUCGAUGAAAGCAAAUAAAGAGUCCUAGCACCAUAACAUAGUAGGGGAAGCCAUGAGCUAUUUCCAGGAAUUACAUGGCAACUGCGAUAUGUACAGAUGCAAUUGCCAACCCACCCUCAUUCUGUACUUCCCCUCGCCGUGGCCUUCUGGGAUCGGCUCGAGCGGCGAUUCACGAUCACGAACAUCACCGCCGCAUCGAAAUCGGUCGCUCCCAUGGCCGUUUCCAUCAUCACCGUCAGACAUCUUAAGUCGUUGGAUCUCAGCAUACAAGUACCUGGUUCGAAACGAACUCACGCCUCAGAAGUCAUCAACAAUCGUCAACGAGUGAAGCGCAAAACACGUGCUCUCAGCGGCAAAAGCAAACCGGCGACGAUGCUCGACCUCAUCAGAGCUCUCCGCGCGAUGAUCUCAGCAUGAGAAUCGUUCACGACGUCGCCGUGGAGGCUCCGCAGAGAACGCCCGAUGCACUUCGUCCCCGUCCCGAGCGAAACCACUUCCAGUUCUGAGAGAGCGAUUCACAGGAUAAGAAACAGAAUCAUGCUCGAUCCUAAUAACCGACGAACGAAUCGAAGCAACGAUUCCGAGCUCGAUAGAGAGGAGCACCAAGAGAAGGAGAGGAGAGGAGGAAGGCGGCGAGGACGGUGACCUCGCGCCCCUGGGGCUUCCCCUUCUUCGGCAGGGAGCGGUAGCGAGCGAGGACCUCCUCGGAGGCUCUCUCCGCGAAGGCGGAGCCGCCGCCGCCGCCGCCGCCGCCGCUCUCCGGAGCGGACGGGGCGCUCGCUUCGCCGGGCGACCUCAUCGGCGGACUUCCACUUCAGCUCACUCUCUGGAAGGCGAGAGAACCUGAGAGGGACAAAACGAUGAAAUGAUGGAGAUGCAGACGCUGCUUCGAAGUAACGGGCUGAUUCUGCUCUACGGUUUGGGCCCAAAAUGAGCGAAAUUCAUGGGCCUUUAGGUCCAUGAUUAGAUCUAAAUGGACCAAUGAGAUCCACACCCUUCACCACUCGCAAGUUCGCCGGGUUACAAAUUAUGAACACGGUGUUCACGCGAACUUGACGGAAAUUAAAGGGAAAAUAACAUAGAUGACCCUUAAAUUUUUAAUUUAUUUAAAGUGACUUUAGUUUAAUGUGCAAUAUGGCCCAUAAAUUUUCAAUUUGUUUAAUGCAAUUCAACUUAAUUUUUGAAGUAUAUAGAAAUAUUCAAUGUUGUCCGAACUUGAAGUAAUGGAAGAAAUAUAUUGAUCAUUUUCUUAUCACUUAGGGAAUAAGUUAAACGAGUACUCAAAGUUGAUGAAUUAUAUUUAACAAAUUGAAAAUUCAUAAAUCACUUUACACAUUAAACUAAAGUUCAUGGAUCAUUAAAUAAAAUUUAAAGUUUAUGAACCACAUUACAUAUCGAAUUAAAGUUCAUAGACUAUUUGUAUCAUUAUUUCAAAAUUUAGUAUAGACAUCGAAACUCACCAUAUAUGGCAUGAUCCAACAGGUUACAUCCGAUUCACGAGCUAAAAACUUUGUAAAAAGCUACAAAACUCGAUCAGCUAUAAUUGAUCCAAGUUAAGGCAGAUAAGCUUGGUCAAAACUCGACUCGAAUCGAAAUUCCAGAGGCAAGACCUCAAGUAGAUCUCGAACUUGACAGUCGGAUCAACACGCUCGAUCUCGAUCUCGAGCUCGAUGUCAUUAAUUGCGACAGCGAACAUGAGCUAACGUCGCCCGCUUUUGCUUUCUAAUCCUUCAAGAAAAGCCCAAAUCCAGCCCCUCGAUGGGCAAAACGAAUCCCAAGCAAUCACGUCGGAGGGGACAGCCGCCAUCGACGUGGACACCUGGGGUCAACACGCUCGAUCUUCACGUGGGCUUGGAGGAGAUGGGCCGAAGACAGGCUGAUCUUGCUGGCGUGGGCUGGCUUCUUGGGCUGCCGGCACGAGCGAGAGAAGACCGAAGCAGCUGGUCUUCGAGAAAUGAAGACCGACGUUGCUGGAGACCUUGAUCCACUGAAGACACGCGAAGAUGAAGUUGCUUCGCUGGCGUGCGGUCGAAGAUGGAGCAGUGGACCGGCCGACUGAACUUUGCUGGCGUCCGCACGAUGGAGAGAAGAUGGAAAUGAUGGGAUGACGAUGGCCUGAACGACUUCGUGGAUGGAGAUGGUGCGGUCUGCUGCAAAGGAGAAAAACGGUGGAGUUGAAUUGCGGGCGUAGGGACUGAUUCGGUGGGACUGAAGCCGCGUGGGCAUUGCUGGCAGGGGAAUUCAAAGGGGAUGAAGGAGGGGUCGAGCUUCACGGGAAAAGAAAUGAAGAUGGCAGAAGCGGUAAAGGAAAGAGGCAGGCGGGCUAGCGUGGUCGAGAAGUUGAGGGAGAGGAAGGAAAAAUCAAAGCAAAACAUCCCUAAAAAUUUAAUGAUUGGCCCCCCCUUUAGCCUCCAACCUUAUCCCUUUUAUCCCCAAUACUUUCUUGCUUAGAAUUUCUCUAAAUUAACCAAUUUUGAAGCCAAAAAUUGUAGCCCUCAAACAUAGCUCCGAAUUUCCCAAUCUUGGCCUCAAUUUCUUCACAUAUUCCCCAAAUCGAUGUCCAAUUUUGAUGAAGAUGAAGCCCACGAAUUUUCUACAAGUUCCCAUCAGCAAAUAGCUCAGCUUGGAAGCCCAAAUUUCUCUUCAAUUCGGCACGUUCGAAUUUUUGUUAAUUUCCGAAUUGUCUGAAACAAUUUUCCGUAAAAAUCCCGAACUCUCCGAAAAUAUGAGUCGACGUUUCUAAAACAAAUCAUGACAUGAUAGAACUUUCAAUUUUUAAAACCGGGUUCAAUUUCGCGAUUAAUUUCAAUCUGACGCGAUUUUAAUGUGACCUAGCCUAUCGGAUAGCUUUUAGGAAUUUUUAAUGCAAUUGACCGUGGUCGAUUGUUUUCGAGUCACAUUGUACAUCUUCGACACAUUGACAACUCUUAGUUGUCGUGAAAAUUUCAAGAUUUCAAAUACGAACCCCGGGUACAGAAAUGACAAAAGAAUCGAUUUAGUGUCAUUCGAUAGAAAUUUUGCAAUUAGGUGGAAUCACCAUCACACUAAUCACAUACCUCCAUCAAAUUGACCUAUCUCCGAUCUCUGAUCGAUUUUUUACCUAUCUCCGAUCUCUGAUCGAUUUUUGGCGGUGCCGUAAUGACCCUUGCAGAUCAACAUGGUCGAGCAGUCGAUUCAUGGUUGAAUUCUCAAGUCUAUUGCGUUAAAAUCCCUUAAUAGCUUCCUUAGAUAGUAUACUUAUCUCAUGAGUUAUCAGCUCAGAGAAUAGCACUAUCGGCAUGUCGAUAAAAGACCCGAUUCAUUUAAUAGAACACAAAAUCUGAAAAUUCAGGCUGUCACAGUAAUGCUCGAGUUGGAAUACUGUAUGUAGGUGCUCGAAUCGAACAAGAAUCUCGACAUCGCUUUGGAAAUAAAUUUAGUACCUCUUUGAUGUGGUUGUUGCCCCAUUCUACUGCAAACUUGAUGUCUCUACACUUGUUGUUGAGCCUAACGGGCCAGUAGUGCUCCAUUGGGAUCAUCCCUCUUAGGAAGAAAUCGUGAUAAACCGGCUCUAUCAACAGAGUCGUCGAAUCACACGCCAGAAUGUACUUGUCGCUCACAGACCAUGCCUUCCCUUCCACGAAGAUCUUGUACCUUGAAAAUGAAUGGAAGUAAGAGGAACUUGCUAAUCAGAUUGUAUAAUCACAGGACAUAUAUAGAGGAUCACGAGAAUCGCCAGGAGUUGCACUGCUCAAUUACCUGUGGAUGCACUGAUCUUCCAAUCUCGACUCCUUGAAUCCUUUCCUAGAUUCAGCAGCCCAAUUCUGAGAGUACGAAAAAUAAUCACAGAAUCCAUCUGUCAGUUACUAUCUUUCUUUUCUUAAUUGUUGGAGAGAUAGAUCAUAAAAUGGUCCGCGCAGCUCAUCUGACGAUGAGUGAAAAAAUUAGUACAUUUCCGGAACUGAUACCGUACCAAAAUCAAGGAAUAUCACAAGCCAAUGACCACUCAACAGGAACUACACAUUCUUAAGUGAGAAUAGUUCAGCACCACCUCAUGAUUUGGACUUGAGUUUGAUCAACUUGGCGACGAGCUUGAUGGACAAGGUCGAAUUACCUGGACAUAUAGACGAGCAUUCCAGUUAUGUUCUUCAGUGGCGUUGCACGUCAUCAGGUCUUGCCUAUUUGCCGACACGCCCGGGUUGCCUUUCCAGUACGCAUAAGGUAUCCUAUCUUUCCAUUCGAUUUCCUUUGCCUUCUCUUUGAUGACCUGGUAUGUAUUUGUCCAUGUCCUUAUAUUGACCUCGUGCCUAUAAAAUACAGAUGAGAACUACGAUGCACAUGAUCGCUUUCAAUCCCAAGAUGAGAACUACAAUGCACAUGAUUAUCUUUGAGAAAAAAAAUAUAUCAUCGCUGCGUUAACCACUAAGAAGAAUAAGAUAUUACCAUCCCCAGAAUGACCAGUCAGGAAUAAUAUAUCCAACGACGUCUCGUUCCCGCAGUAGUGGAAAAGCGGUGGGGGCGACCCAGCAUUUGGUCCUUGGUAGUGACUUUUCAUGAUCACCGGACUGUCGUUGCAAUAGAACAUGAGGUCCAAAUCCGGCACUUUCCCGGGAUACAACCUCAGGAGCUGCAAAAUCCCCCAAAUGGUGCCCACAUCCCUUGUCUGAAAGGGCCUCUUGUAGUGCUCUAUAUAAGCCUUGCCAUUCUUAAUCACAAGCCUGAAGUGGGCGAUGUUUCGGUUCUCUCCAUCAUCUCUCUCGUGAUCCCCAAGCUCUUCCACGGCCGUAGAUCCUCAUGAAUCCACCGAAGUACUCAGGGCAUGCCACGGCAUAUGAUUCCUCAGGCUCAUGUUUCGUCGGGUAGUUCGUCAGGCAUGUCUGGGGCACGGUUGAUGAAUUGGUGCAGUUGAGAGGGAAUUCCAUCUUCUGAGGUGGCUCUCCCUGGCCUCCCUUAGCUGUAAUCAUUUGCCUCGAGGAAACUCCUGGAAAUACAAACUGAGAGUGCACACACACAGUGGAAAGAGUAAGUUCCAAUAUCUUGUAAUGGUGCAAAUACAUCAAAUCUUUCGGCAUCGCAGUCUGUUGGGCUAACAGGUCCUGAGGUUCAAUUGACAGGUCUAAAUCUACUGCGGAACAUGAAACCAUUAGAGCUGGCCAACAGAACUCUGAAGGAAAAAAAUGAAAGACUGUUCAAAUUGAGUAGAAUCUCGAUUACAUCUUCCGUUUUUCCCAAAUGGGCGGGUUUGAGUUGAAUCUAUGGAUUCAAAUACAUCACAGUUCACAGGCACGAAAGCAUAAUUAAACUGCGCUCAUCGUAUCUUCAUUCUAUGGCGAAAUGCCGGAUCAAGCAUAACCCAUUUUCCUAGAGAGUCCGAAUAUCAGGACGGUUCAGUAAGCAAUAAAUUAGAUGAAAGCAGAGUCUCUGUCUACACAAAGUCCAAAAGCUGCGGUUUCCCUGAACCAGGCGUGGACGCCAUAGGAGUCCAACUUGCGGUCCCUGGUUUUCUCAGGUAUGUAUUGCAGCCUUCAACACAAGAAAAUAAACAAAGAUAAUUGCACGAACUGAGCCCAGAAAGAGAGGUGCAAAGAGUGUAAUAACUUCAAACGAGGGCUCUCAUCAUUCGAAUUCGUCAUCUUGAUCAGCCAAGAUCUCCGUCUGAGUAUUAUAUCGGGUCAUGACUCACAUCGAAAGAAACUCCUAAGCCACAAGGACAGACUCGUUACUGUCAAAGACCAGAAAGUUGAGAAAGGCUCACAAUGUCCAGCCAAGAGACGACGCUCCCACAGAGAUGAUCACAAUAAAGGAAGCGAAAACAGCGGCCGGAGUCCACGACUUCAGGGGACGGCUAGUACUUGACAAACUGUGCGGUCGAACCUCGUGCGACCCUGGGCCAAUCUUGCGAUGGAACCUUUCUUCUUCAUCUUCCAUUGAUCUCGUGAACCAGAAAGGCUAGGAAUCAAGGCUAGCAGAUGCUACAACUUCUUCUUCUUCUCCUUCUUUCCUGUGUUGUUGAGGGAGAUGGAUUGAUGAAACUACUGCAAAGUCAGAUCUCCCUUUUUUUUUGUUUUUUUUUUUUUUUUUUGCUUCCCUAACGUUGCUGUGCACUCCUUGGCUUGUGAUUUACAUGAACAAAGCUCGGAUGAAAUUGAGUCCUGGCAUCAUUUUGCUUAUCUUUCGUUUACCAGCAAAGAGCAAGAACGUAGAUUUGAUUUUUGUAAUCUGGGGUGAUCUGAUUUCGUGCCAAAAACAAUCUUCUUUUUUAUUUUAUCUGGCUCUUGUUUUGGUUAAAGAAAAACUCUCCGUUAAGUAAGGUUUGUCACAUGAUAGGAGUCCAAUUUCUUGGCGAUGCACUUGCAAAAAGGAGGCCUGGAGGCUUGAAGACUAAGUGAUUGGAAUUUGACUUCCUAACUUGUAAUUAUUUGCUUAUUAGUUUAUACAUUUGCAUUGGAAAUAACAUUAUCUAUGACUUGAUUCUUUUUUCUUUUUUUGGUCAUUUAUAUUUUGACCCAUUUGAAUAAUAAAUUUGAUGCUAUUGCUUUAAUACCUAAUUGUGCUAUUGCUUCAUUACCUAAUUUUGAUGAAACUAGGCUUUAUUGGAUCAUGAUUAAUAUCGCCAAAAAUCUCAACUCCGUGCGUCCGCGCCAUAUUUACCCCCAACCUAAUUUUCGUGUCACGAAAAAAUUUCAAAUCGGUACACCUGUGCCAUAUUUAUCUCAAGAGCAAUCUUCGCACCACAAAAAAUCACAAACUGAUUCAUCUAUGUCACGUUUACCUACAAAAAAAUCUUAGCUAUACCCAUAUUUGUGAAGACGCUGCCUAAAUCUUGGAGAUAAGAAAUUCCUCUAAGAUCAGUGAGACUCCUUUCCAAGUCUGGAUCCUCUGCACCUCUUAACUUUUAACAAACCACGAUCUUCCCUUCGUCCUAAUUAUAGACACAAUCAUUUAUCAGAAAAUGGAUAUACACCUAUGGUUUUCGAGUACGAGGCCGUUCGCGUGGUUAUGUUCUAUUGGAUGGACACUCGGUUCAUAUUUUUGAUAGCAAUUGAGAAACUCUGCAAUUAAGUGUUAAUCUUCUCCAUUGAUGUUAAGGUAAAUACGUUAUGGGUUAAGCAUUAGGAAUUUUUUUGGGCAUGAAAAAUAAUUUAGUGGUAAAUGUGAUACAAAAUAUCAAUUUGGGAUUUUUGGUAGUUUAAGCCUCAAUGAAUUAUUCAAAGAGAGUCGACCUCGCUCAUAGAAGCAUAGAAAUCUAUCUAUCUACAACCGCACAUGGAAUUAAACUUGGUGAUUUUGAAAUGGUUGAAUGCUCUCCUACGGUUCUAGAUAAAUUGUACCUAAUUUCUAGGGAUGCAGCGUUUGGAUUUUUAUCAAAAGUUUAAGGAAAAAUUUCAAAUAAGCGCCUAAAAUACUCUAAUUUUUUCAAAUAAUGACUUAAAGUGAAUUUUAUUUUAAAUAAGGAUCUGAAGUAGUUUUAUUAGUCUCAAAAAAUGGCCUAACUCACUAGCUAAUAAGGGCAUUUUCGUCCUUUUUUUAAUUUUUUUCCUUUUUUUCUUUUUCUAUAUUAGAGGGAAAAAAUAGAAAAUGGAAGGGGAAGGGAAAAUGGUAGGGGCUCAACAAGCCCUUCCCGGCAAUGGUAGGGCGGCAGUAACGAGGGCUAAGCCCUCACUUUAGAAGUGAGCAUGGUCCGAGUUGGGCCAGUCCAUCCCCUAAUCUUAGGACCAACCCAUACAAUUUCAAUCCUCCAUUUUUGGAAUCGAGGACCAAUCCUAUUGAACUUGGGAUUAAUGACCGAACUGACCCAAUGGGUUCAGUUUGAUUUCAAGAUUAUCGCAGGACCGACCGAUAAGUUUUUUUAUUUCAUUUUUUGUACUCCCUAAAAAGACAAAUCUAUCAUUUCAAAUUACAUAUCCAUUAACCAUACAACAUUGUGUAAUCAAACUAUAAAUAUCAAUACAUAUUCAACAAAUUUAACAUAAGGCAACAAUAGAAAUUCCAUACUUGUUAAAACAAUUAAGACCAUUUAUAGAGAUUUGAGACAAGAUGGGAAGUUGAGCGACAAGCGACAAAAUUGAGAAGGGUGAGUGUCAAGUGGCGAGCAGGGAAGUUAUUUCUUUCGAUUUUAGCAAAUUGAAAACUAAAAGAACAAAAAAGAUAGAAGAGAAUGAGUACUGGAGGAGAAUGUCGUAAGGAGCUAUUUAAUACUAUUUACGCCAUUUUAGAUGUUGUGAGAAGACAUUUAAUGCUGGUGACAUCAUUUGACUUAGGGUUUUAUAAAAAAAAAAAUAUUUUAGAUAUAUUAUAUAUAAUAUAUAUAGUCGGUGUUGGUCCAAGUUAGACUAACCCUAAACUCUCAAAACUGAUUAUCAACUUGCACUGUACUUGUCUAGAAAUCCCAUGACCAAAGACCAACCCAGUCCUCCGGAGAACUGGAUUAGGACCAACAAGGUUGGAUUGGUUCAGGGUUGAUCCAAAGUUAACCCUAAACUAAUGCUCACCCAUAUGUCACUUGAUUUCCUUCCUUUUUAUUAUUUUAAAAAUUUUAAAAAAAUUAAUGUAUUUAAAUAAUAUUUAAAUUUAAAUUUAUAUUGGACAGAAAUACCCUUAAUUAAUGGAAAUAUUUAGCUGGCCGACGAGUCAAAGUCAUUAUUUAAAAAAUAAAAGCACUUAAAAUCUUUAUUAGGAUUUUUUCUAAAAUUUAAUUGGUAGAAAACAAAAUGGGCCUGCAUAUGAAGUUUGAUCUAUAUAGGUUAGUUGCUAAGGUAUAAUCAUAAAGUUGCUUUUAUUGCAACACAAGUCAGUACCUAAAUUUCGUACUUCCCAUCCUUUAAAGGUAAAUUGUACAAGUGUCAAUAUCACUAGAGCAUUAAAUGCUACCGCUGUCACUACUGCCGUUACUCAUAAGUGCUAGGCGCCACCCUUAAAAAUACCUUUAUUCAUCCGCGAUCGAUCUGUACUCUCAAGCCAUUUUCUUUGCAACCAAUUUGCAUGCCAAUUUUUAUACCAUGUUGGACUCGUUGGUGUACCAACAAUAGACUAAUCGCAUCCAACAGCGAUUGGCCACGAUUGCCACCAUCAUGUACACCCACCUCCGAUCUUGGUCAACCUUGUGCCGUGUAUCUUUACUAGAAAAAAAAAAAAUCCAUGCAACAAAUGAUGAAAUAGGUAGACAUCCGAUUGCUCUCAUGCAAAUAUCUACUUGAAUAAAAUUUCAUAUGGAAAACAUGUGAUUUUCAGGAUUUCAAAGUACAAUAAGAUAAGAAAGCCGUUGAAUUCAUGAGAGAUGAAUGUGACCAUAUAGGUGGGAAAUUUGGAAUGAACCCUACCAUACCACAAAGAGUAAGAAUUCCUUGAGCGUGGGCCAAGUUCAUCGCACGAAUGGGCUCGAGGUCUAAUUUUUUAGAAAAUGAUUCUGUACUUUUUGCACGAACUAUUCACAAAGUGGAGCCCUAUUCAUCCGCGCCUGUGGCCAUCAUGCACAGGCUAACCGACAAGGAAGUGGCUUCUAAAGGUACGCCUAAAGAGAGAUUCCACUUACAAAAUGUCUGCUUUUAUGUAGCUGCUCGCUUCUGUGUUCUCAUCGUUUCUAAGGUAUAAGUGGACUGACAGUGGAAACUAACGUGUCCAACUUUCGUACUCUAAUGAUGAAAUAUCCGCGACCAUCAAGAGGACGUGCGCCUAUUGAAAUCUCUCCAGUACCGAGCUUCUUCCAUCUCCACUCGCCUGGUCACCUUCUCUUUUCUUUCCUGGAGAGCUUUGAGCUCGUCGGGUUUGUAAGGGGGCGGCAACGAGCACGGCGGCACAUCGCUAGGGGACAUCACCAUGGAAUCGUCCAUGAACUUCCUGAUCGAGCCGCCGAACGGGCAGGCCAUCGCUUCCGAGCACAUCUCAACCGCCCCCCGAGGCACCUUCGUCUUGAACUUCAGGAGCUUCGCGUACUCGCUGAGCAGGUGGAACAUGUAGUCGUACACGUACUUCAUCUUCACGCUCUCGGCGACGUACCUCCGUCCGUUCUCUCCGAUGGCCUCCGCCUGUGCAGGGUGCUCGUUUCCCCAUUCCACGGCGUACUUGAUGUCCCUGCACUUGUUAUGGGGCCUAAUGGGCCAGUAAUGGUCCAAAGGGAUCAGCCCUCUUGAGUAGAUAUCAUAGUAGUCCGGCUUUACCCGCAAUGUCAUGGCAUCGCAUGCUAGAACAUACUUCUGACUAACCGACCAAGCGAUUCCUUCAAUGUAGAUAUUAUACCUGCUCCAUGUUUAUAGUUCAUGCAAGCAUAUUCAGUUCAUGACUAGGCCAUGCGACGCGAUCUGGAACACCGACUUCACCGACAACUCAUUUACAAAGAGAAUGGGAGGGGAAUUGUAGACCAACGAAACGGGAAAUUGUUACUGGCUUACCUGUGAGUGCAUUGAUCUUCUAGAUUCGAAUGCUUAAAUCUUUCCGCUCUUUCGCGACCCCAGUCCUGGAAAAGGCAUCAAGUUUCACAUUUUAGUGUCAUAACUUUAGUGUCCGAUCCAAGUAACAAUAGGUAGCACCGACCAAAUUGAAUAAGGAUCAGUUAUCGUCAAUGUUUCAUUGUACCUGGUUAUACACGCGAGCUUUCCAAUCGAUUUCUUUGCUGUCAUUGCACUUGAGGAGUUCACCCCUGCCUCGAGAAGUAGUUGGGUUGCCUUUCCAGUAAGCAUAGGGCUCUCUAUCCUUCCAUGGCAUCAUCUCUGCCUUCUCUUUUAUGGCUGAUAAUGUGCUUUCCCAUGGCUUUAUGUUCACCUCAGGCCUACCACAUAAAACGUGCUUGAAUGAGACCCUUCCCACUUUGUACAUGAUGCUUUUCCGUAAGAGAGAGGAUUAAAAGAUGCAAAAAGGUUGCUCAGUGGAACUGCUUUCGCAAAUUCCCUACGAACUAUACAGGGACCCGAUCAUCUUUGGCUGAACAGUUGAGAAUGAACCGAAUUGGUGCGGUGGGUUGAAUGCAUCGAGCGAAAUCAUGCAUUUAGAGCUUAUUAUGCUGCACUUAUCCACCGAAUCUGCUAGGACACGGGCUAAACCUAGCUCGAACAGCCGACCGUUUAGCUAGUAAAAAAAUGCUCUCGCUUCUUAGCACUAUGACAAAAAAUUAAAGAAGAUGCAACGCUAAAGGAGCGAGUUAUUACCAACCCCAGAAGGACCAAUCAGGGAACGGAAUGUCAAACGCCGUGUGGUGUCCACAGUAAUGAAAUAAUGGCGGGAUCUUGGUGCCUUUCGAGCCCUUGUAAUCUUCCUUCUUGAUCACCAGUCGGUCUCCGCUUUGGAACAUCAGUUCCAAAUCCGGCAACUUACCAGGAUACAACCUCGCGAGCUGCGCGAUCCCCCAGAAUGUGAACUCUUCUCUCGUUUGGUAUGCAGGCCUGAACUUGUCCAGAUAGACUUUCCCCUUGUGAACCACGAUCCUAAAAUGCGCAGUCCUCUUAAUGCCCUCCAACAUCUCUCUCGUGAUUCCCACGGCCUUCCAAGGCCGGAGAUCCUCGUGGAUCCACCGGAAGUACUCGGGACAUACCUCGGCGUCUAUAUUCUUGGUCUCGUGUUUCAAGGGAUAAUCCAAGGGGCAUUUUUGCUUCGUGGUUGCAUUCGGGCACUUGAUCGGGAACUCUUUUUUCGCAGGCUCAGGUGGAAACUCGGUUUUCGGAGACUCGGGAGGAAACUCGGUUUUCUUCAGAGAUGAUUGCGCAGAGCUUUCGUUGGCGGUAGUCUUGAAAAUUGAAGCGCCUGGAAAAGUAAAAGUAGGCUACAAACCACCCAAAAAAUAAAAAAGGAGGUUAAUUCAAGGAUAUGGGAUUAGCUGAUAUGUGAGAUCUACAAAGUCAUGAAGAAUCUCAGUAUCUGCGUAACAUUAGCAAUAUCUAUGGCUGCCAAAAUCAAAACAAACAGAUGAAACAUGAAAAAAGAAGAAGGAAAAUCCGAAAUCAAUGUAUCGAGAGGGAAUGACUGAUGUGCAAGGAAAACACACGUUAUUUGGUCGUGGGCCAUCCAUGUUGAAGUAGUUAACUUUCAGUUUUUAUGUGUCAAUAGUGGAGUCCUAGUCAAUAAGAAGUGGCUUGUUUUUAGGAGUUAGUUUCUACACAUGUUCUGGUUAGUGGGGUAUGUUAGUGGGUCUUUGUUGUUGUUGUUUUGUAGCUAUUUUCCUGCAAAGUUUGUAUGUUCUGCCUAUUAUAUAGACUUUGUUCUGUUGAAUAUUGUGACGAGAGUUACUCAGCAACUCUCUUGUGUGUGCAACUCUCUUGUGUGUUUUCUUCUCUGAGUUUAUUUGAGUAAAUUUCAACAGUGGUAAGAGACACAACAAGAAAAAAAAAGUGUUCAAAAGGAGUCUUGAGUGAUCAAACACGAGAGCGGUAGUGGUUCUUCUUUGCAGCAGCAGUGAUGGCCACAGAGAACUUCGUACAGCCUGCUAUACCUCGCUUUGAUGGUCAUUAUGACCAUUAGAGUAUGUUGAUGGAGAAUUUCCUCAAGUCUAAGGAGUAUUGGGUGUUGGAAAUUUCCUAUAAUAUGGGCUUACAUUAAUUAAUUGAUUUUCUAUUUUAAAUAAUCGGGUCAAUGGAUAUUCUAAUAUCUAUUAAACCCUAAAGUGAUAUGAUUGAAUUGGGUAUUGGUAUCUAUUGUUAACGGGCCUAAUUGAGCAGCAAAAUAUAGGCAAUUGUAUUUGACUGAAGCCCGUAAUGGGAAUGGCCCAAUUGACACGCUGUUGAUUAGGAUUUGCUAAGUCCCUCUCUAGCCUAUAAAAGGGUAGGUUAUACCUAUCAGUUGCUUUAAUCCCAUUGAAAGCUGCUAUAUCGAAAUAGGUCAUAGAGAGGAAGAUCCGGUAUUCCAAUAGAUCCCUAAUUAUGAGAGUGAUCUAGUUUUCUUCGAGUGAAGCAAUGGCUUAAACAGGUAUGCUUUAAUUCCGUUGUAUUUAUUGAUCUUGGUGUUUUACAAUCAUGUAUGGAUCCGUUUGUUCUUAAUUGAUUAAUUGUUUAUGAGAAUAAUUUUAUACAUGUGGUAUCAAAGCCGAUCGUAUAUGAUUGUAGAACCCAAAUUUUUUUUUCUUUAUGGACAAAUUCGAAAUCCUCUUCUUUGAGCCGAAUAUAGGCAUUAUUUUUUUGUGUAUAUGUUUUGCUUCAUUAAUCCCGUAACCAUAGGGCUUUUGUUCUACACGUCAAGAUCUUUCCAACCAUAUAUAAUUUUCAUAAUUUCGUUCAAAAUUGAGAGAGAAUUUUGAAUUUGAAAUUCUAGGGUUUAUGCAUGAAAAAGUUCUAGAAUUUUCGAAUUACUUGCAAUUGAUUGAUGUUGGAUGCAAAUAGUUGUAUGGUAUUGUUAUAUAUUUGUUUUAGUAUCCUUUUGUUGUAUUAAAUUGAGUUUUUAGGGCUUAAAUUUAAGAAAACCUAAUUUUCAGCCAUGGGAGGCUUGGAUCCGAAAUCUUCAAGCUUGUAUGUGGUGGAUUUGGUUAGUUUUUCUCCGUUUAAUUAAAUCUAGUUAAUUUAAUUGAUGUUAUAAGAAAAACCCAUGAGGAAAUUUCAUCAGAAACCAUGUUAAUUUGUGCCUUUGGAGCUUCGGGUCGAAACUGGGUCGUGCGACCCGAUUUGCAGAAAAUUUGGGACCCGGCUGGAGGUUGAAGAAGACCUCCAGCCGGGCCGGGCCAUCGAAUUGGGCUCACGCCCAUUAAAAUUAUAAAAAAAAAGGGGGUCCUGGGCGUAACCCAGAACCAUAAACAAAUUAAAAGGUUCUGGGCUCACACCCAUGAACCAAAGUAGAGAGGUUCUGGGCGUGAGCCCAGAACCAAAAUAAAUGGGUUUGGCCCUUCUUCUUUUUUAAUUCGUGGCCCGCCCGCACAGCUUGCGUGUGGGCUGGGCGCAGGUAAGCGUCCGCGGGUCAGGCCCUGCAAUCCGAUUAGGGCUGCUCGCAGGUUCUUGGCCCGCGGGAGUCCGAAAUAUUAAAUUAAUAUUGUAAUGAUAAUAAUAAUAAUAAUUAAAAAAAACUUGUGGCAAAAAAAUUUGUUUGAAAAGUGCAAUAUGAUCAUUGGAAACACAUGUUGUAAAGUGUUUCAUAUAGUUUGAUGAAUUUUGGGCAUAAAUUUUUGAAAUUCCAUAUUCAUAAAAAUUAAUAUAUACAAUUACUCGCCCAAAGGGGGUUAUUGUGUAUAUUAAUUUGGAAAAUAGCAUGAAGUUUAUUCCCAUAUUUAAAAGAUGGGGAUGUAUAAUUGAAAAAUAUUUAUUUGCCCAAAGGGGAUAAAUGUUUUGAAAAUUAUAUGUAAUUCCCAUCUAUGUUGAUAUUAUGGAGAUGUAUGAUUUAAAGGAUUUUUCUGCCCAAAAGGGAUGGAUCCUUGACAAUUAUAUGUAAUUCUCCUGUUGUUGUUUUAUAAAUUUCAUGCUAGGAAAAAUAAUGGUGCAUUAUACACUCUACCCAAAGGGGAGUUUAUGAUGUACUAAUUAUUUUUGUUGAGUUGCUUAUUGCCCAUAAUUGAUCUUAUUGCAUUAUGUGUGUUAAACAGUUACAUUUCGUGUAAAUAACAAUAAUGUCACGGUGGAAAUGUUAACUGGAUCAAAUUUUAAGAGAUGGAAACAAGAUAUAGAGUUUGCUUUAGGCAUCAUUGAUAUGAACUUGGCUCUACGUGAGUAUGAACCUGCCAGGCCCAAUGAUCAAACUACUACAGAUCAAAAGGCCCAUUAUGCUAGAUGGGAAAAAUCUAAUCGACUGAGCCUUAUUGCUAUGAAGAGGUCCAUUGCUGAGCAUCUGAUUAGUGGUUUGCCGAAAGAUACGAAUGCUAGACAGUUCCUUGAAGUAGUGGGAGAAAGAUAUAGAGUCUCAAAUAAGGCUGAAGUUGGGAACUUGCUAAGUGAGUUAACGAACAUGAGGUAUGAUGCUGCUAUGGGUGUUAGAGAAUUUAUACUGAAGAUGGUCCAUAUUCAGUCCAAACUUAAGGCCCAUGAAAUUGUUCUUUCUGAAAAUUAUAUUAUGCAUCACGCCUUAAAUGUUUUGCCAGCUGAAUUUAGCCAGAUUAAAACUGCUUAUAGUGCUCAGAAUGAGACAUGGAGUGUUAAUGCCUUGAUUACUAAGUGUGUGACUGAGGAAUAGAAAUUAAAGAAGGAAAAGUAUGAGUUUGUCCACUUAACUACCAAUGCCAAGUUGAGUUCGUAUAGAGGCAAAUGGAAGCCUAAGGGGUCAAAUGCUCAUGACCCAAACAAAUGGCAAGAUUUUAGGAAAAAUGGGAACUAUGGGAGAAAUGGAGAUAAGGAUUUUAAAUGUUUUCACUGUAAGAAGCAGGGUCACAAGAGAGCCAAUUGCUACAAAUUUCGAGCUUGGCUAAAAACAAGAAAAGAAAGUCACCAAGGUGAGUUGUUGGUUUGUUUUGAAUCAAAUUUGGUUGAUGUUCCUUUGGAUUCUUGGUGGCUUGAUUCUGGUCCUAUUGUUCACGUGACUACUGCCUUACAGGAUCUCACAAAUCUAAGGAGUCAAAGUCUGAGGGAGUCAAAGCUUAAAGUUGGAAACAAUACUGGAGUUGAUGUGGAGCGCAUAGGGACAAUUGUUUUGAAUUUAGAUUCUGGUUUUCAGCUUGUCUUGAACAAUGUCUUUUAUGUUCCUAAUUUUAGGAGAAACUUAGGGGUUGCAUGGAAACGUUCCUAAAAAGUGUUUCUGGAACACUUUUUUGUUUUUUUGUUCCCGGGAACAAAAAAAGAACAUAAACGUGUUUGGUUGCGUUUCUGUUCUUUUUUUGUUCUUUUGUUCCUGGAACACAAAAAAAACAAAAAAAAGAAACAAAAAAAACUUACUUCUUGUUCCAAAAACAAUUUUGAAGAAACGUUUCUUCUUCUCUCUCUUCUUCUUCUCUUCUUCUUUUCUUCUUCUUUUUUUCUUCUUUUUUCUUUCGCCGGUCGGCCGUCGAGAGCCGGCGACGCCGUCGAGGGUCGAUGACCUCGCCGGAUCUGGGCAAGCCCGAGCUCGCCCAGCCAAGGCGAGGCUCGGCCUCGCUGUGCGCGAGCGAGGCCGAGCCUCGCCCAACCACGGCAAGGCUUGGCCUCACCGGGGGCCGGCGAGCCUCGCCAUGGCUGAACGAGGCUGCCGGCAACCGGCCGAAAAAAGAAAAAAUAAAAAAGAAAGGAAAAAAUGAAAAAUAAAAUAAAAAUAUUAAAAAAUUAAAAGAAUAAAAUUUACCAAACAUGUUUCUGUUCAUUUUUUAUUUCCGGAACAAGUUUACCAAACGCGUUUUUUUAUUCAAAAAUUGUUCCCCGGAACAGAAACACUUUUUUUUAUUUCUGUUCCCGGGAACAUAAAAGGAACAGAAAUAAAAACAUGAGCGCCCUUAGUAUCUCUUUCUUCACUUGAUAAAGUUGGAUAUUGUCUUCAUUUUGCAAAUAAAAGAGUGGAUUUGAGUUAUGAUUCUAGAAUUAUUGGGAAUUGUGUUUUGUCUGAUGGAUAAUAUCGAUUAUCCUUAUCUCAUGAUAGACCAUAUUGCUCUUUUAAUGUCAAGAAUAUUGUUGCUAAGAGAUCUUUAAUCAAAGAUAGAUCUUCAAUGCUAUGUCAUAAGCGAUUGGGGCAUAUCUCCAAAGAACAAGUAAAGCGACUUGUCGUGGCUAAUAUUCUCCCUCCUCUUGACUCAGAUGAUAUUGAGACUUGUAUUGAUUGUGUGAGGGGAAAAUUAACUAAAACAAAGAAGAAAGGCGCUACUUGCAGUCAAAGUCUAUUGGAGAUAAUUCAUACUGAUAUUAGUGGGCCAUACUCAACCACCUUGUGUGGAAAUAAGUACUUCAUCACGUUCAUUGAUGAUUUCUCCCGUUAUUGUUAUAUUUAUCUAAUUAAGGAGAAGACUGAUGCACUUGAAAUGUUCAAAGUGUUUCGUACUGAAGUUGAGAAACAAUUGGGAAAAAUUAUCAAGAUUGUCAGGUCUGAUCGUGGUGGUGAGUAUUAUGGGCGAUAUACUAAGGCUAGACAGCAAAAGGGACCGUUUGCAAAAUAUUUGCAGGACUGUGGUAUUAUCGCUCAAUAUACAAUGCUUGGGAGUCCUGAACAGAAUGGUGUAGCUGAACGGCGAAAUCGUACACUCAUGGAGAUGAAACGAAGUAUUGGGCAGUUCUAAUUUGCCUGAAUACUUAUGGGGUGAUGCGAUUAAAACGACCACUUAUAUAUUGAAUCGUGUACCUAGUAAAUCGGUGCCGAAAACCCCUUUUGAAUUGUGAAUAGGGAGGAAACCUAGCUUGAAUCAUUUUCGAGUUUGGGGUUGUCCUGCAGAGGUGAAAAUUUAUGAUCCUUCUCAGAAGAAGACUGAAUCCAGGACUACUAGAUGUUAUUUUAUUGCAUAUCCUAAUCAUUCUAAAGGGUAUAGGUUCUAUUGUCCUUCUCGAGGCACUAGAAUCGUUGAAUCUCAAACUGCUAAAUUCCUAGAAUUAGAUGUUGCAUAAAAGAGUUCCUCUCAAUCUUUUGAAAGGAAAGAACCAAACAAAACGGUCUCUAUUCCAUUGCCCAUCUUGCAUGAAGAUUCUAUGCGAGAUCCCAGCAGAGUGGAAAUUCAACAAGAUGCAAAUACCGAAAAUAUGGCGAUAGAUCAUCCCAUUACAAAUGAAAUUCCCCAGAUGAAUGAUGCAGCUCCAGAAAUGCAUGUGCGAAGAUCACAGCGACAAAGAAGACCAACACUUUUAAAUGAUUAUCAUAUCUAUCUUGGAGAAGCUGAUUUUGAUAUUGGAAGUGUAGUUGAUCUGACGACCUUCAAAGAAAUUCUUAAAAGUGAUCAGGCAGAUAAAUGGUUAGGAGCAAUGAAUGGUGAGAUGAUGUCCAUGUCAACUAAUCAAGUAUGGAAACUAGUUGAUUUACUUGAUGGGCAUAAACCAAUUGGCUGCAAAUGGGUAUUCAAAACUAAGAAAGACAAUAAAUGCAACAUAGAGAGAUUCAAGGCAAGGUUAGUCGCAAAAUGGUACACACAAAGAGAAUGUAUUGAUUAUAAUGAAGUCUUUUCCCCAAUUUCUACUAAAGACUCUUUUCGGAUAAUCAUGGCUUUGGUGGCUCAUUUUGAUUUAGAGCUUCACCAAAUGGAUGUCAAGACAGCUUUUCUAAAUGGAGAUCUGGAUGAAGAAGUAUAUAUGCAGCAAUCUAAAGGGUUCAAAGAAGUCAGAUUGGAGCAUAUGGUGUGCAAACUUCAAAGGUCCAUCUAUGGUCUCAAACAAGCAUCACGUCAGUGGUACUUAAAAUUUCACAAAGUUGUGAGAUCAUUUGGUUUUGAAGAAAAUAAGUUUGAUCAAUGCAUCUACAUGAAAGUAAGUGGGAGUAAAUAUAUUUUCUUAGUACUUUAUGUAGAUGACAUUUUACUUGCUAGCAGUGAUGUUGAUCUAUUGAAUGACACCAAAAAAUUUCUAUCUACAAAGUUUGAUAUGAAAGAUCUUGGGAAAGCCUAUUUUGUUCUAGGCAUUGAGAUUCAUCGUGACAGAUCUAAGAAGGUUCUGAGGUUAUCUUAGAAAAGUUAUAUAGAUCGUGUUUUGAAAAGAUUCAAUAUGCAGACCUGUAAGUCAGGUGAAGUUCCUGUUGUGAAAGGACAAAAAUUGAGCAUAGAUCAAUGCCCCAAGAAUGAUGUUGAAAAGGAAGUCAUGAAAAAUGUUCCAUAUGCUAGUGCAGUUGGCAGUCUUAUGUAUGCACAAGUAUGUACCAGACCUGAUAUUACUUUUGCUGUGAAUACUCUUGGAAGAUAUUUGUCGAAUCCAAGUCAAGAACAUUGGGUUGCAGCUAAGAAGGUGAUGAGAUAUCUACAACGAACAAAAGACUUUAUGCUCGUGUAUAGCAAAGUUGAGGACCUAAAAGUGAUUGGAUAUUCAGAUGCUGAUUUUGCUAGUUGUUCAGAUGAUAGAAAAUCAACUUCUGGAUAUAUUUUUAUGAUGGCUGGAGGUGCUAUUUCUUGGAAAAGCACAAAGCAAACCUUGAUUACGAACUCUACAAUGUAUGCUGAGUUUGUAGCGUGCUACGGCGCGUCGGUUCAAGCAGUUUGGCUCAUAAAUUUGAUCUUAGAAUUGCGUGUUGUGGACUCUAUUGCUAGACCUAUGGUGAUCUAUUGUGACAACACUACAACUGUGUUUUAUUCCAAGCAUGACAAGAUUAGUAAUGCGUCCAAACACAUGGAGAUAAAAUAUUAUACUGUUAAGGACUUGGUCAAAAAUGGAGACGUUGUAAUUGAAAACAUCAUAACUGAGUCUAUGUUGGCUGAUCCUCUAACAAAAGGCUUACGACCUAUUUUGUUUAAAGAACAUGUAAAGAAUAUGGGUGUUUUAGAAUCUUUUGAUUUCUUUUGUUAGUGGGAGUUAUAUAGUUUGUAUUUCUGGAUAUUAUAGUUAUAUGCAGACUGAUAAUGCUUUUAUGAUGUUUAUUAAAGCAUUUAUUUUCAAUGAUUGUUGUUAUUGAUUCUAUUGUUAUCAUUUCUCCUGUUGAUUGAGAAAUGGAAGUAUAAAACAGUAUCUUUAAACAAAUUUUAGUUUAAAGAUGACUGGAUGUCACUGAUUAUGAGAUCUCAUGUUAGAUUGUGACAUAAUUGUGCAAUUUCAUGUUGUUUAGAAAUUGCGCUAAUGUAAUUUCAUGUCGUUGAGAAAUUGCAUUGAGAACCGAUAAGAAAUAGUGUAUAUCUUGAUCACAUGUUGGCACUAUUUCUUACUACACUACUAGGCCCAUGAUCCAUGAAAAUUUAAUACUUAUUAUAUGUGAUUAUGGAAAGUCUUAUGUUGUGAUAUUUUCUUAACACAUUGAUCUCCAUAGUCCUAUAUUGAGGUUAUAUAGGAUUGGAUUGGUAUUGAGAUGCCAUUAUUAGAAUAUUAUUUUAAAAGUUGUGGCCACAUAAAACAAAAUUUUAGUUAUUAACCCGAUAGUGUCAUUUUCAAUAUAAAAUCUUUUUCAAAAUAAAAUAAGUUAAUUAAUGUAACCCAAGUGGGAGAAUGUUGGAAAUUUCCUAUAAUAUGGGUUUAUAUUAAUUAAUUGAUUUUCUAUUUUAAAUAAUCGGGUUAAUGGAUAUUCCAAUAUUUGUUAAACCCUAAAGUGAUCUGAUUGAAUUGGGUAUUGGCAUCUAUUGUUAACGGGUCUAGUUGAGCAACGAAGUGUAGGCAAUUGUGUUUGACUGAAGCCCGUAAUGGGAAGGGCCUAGUUGACAUGCUGUUGAUUAGGGUUUGCUAGAUCCCCUCUCUAGCCUAUAAAAGGGUAGGUUAUACCUAUCAGUUACUUUAAUUCCAUUGAAAGCUGCUAUAUCGAAAUAGGUCAUAGAGAGGAAGAUCUGGUAUUCCAAUAGAUCCCCGAUUAUCAAAGUGAUCUAGUUUUCUUCAAAUGAAGCAAUGGCUCAAACAGGUACGCUUUAAUUCCGUUGUAUUUAUUGAUCUUAGUGUUUUACAAUCAUGUAUGGAUCUGUUUGUUCUUAAUUGAUUAAUUGUUAUUGAGAAUAAUUUUAUACAUUGGGACGUUGUUACUUCUGGUAUUGUCGAACCAGACGAAGGAGCUCAGUUGACAGCAGCACAACAGACAACUCUGGAAGCAGCAAAAUUGAAGGAUCUUAAAGCCAAAAACUAUCUGUUUCAGGCUUUUGACAGAUCCAUCUUGGAGACAAUUCUCUAUAAGGACACCUCCAAACAUAUAUGGGAUUCCAUGAAAAAGAAAUAUCAAGGCUCGGCAAUGGCAAAAAGGCAGCAACUCCAAAUGCUUCGUGGGGAGUUUGAAUUGCUAAGAAUGAAAUCGGGAGAAACAAUCACGGAUUUCUUUUCUCGGACAAUGGCGAUUGUCAAUAAGAUGCGAAUCCAUGGAGAUAAGACGGAAGAUGUCACAAUAGUCGAGAAGAUUCUUCGAUCUUUGACACCAAACUUUAACUUUGUUGUUUGUUCUAUUAAAGAAGCCAAAGAUGUUAAAGAACUCUCAAUUGAUAAGUUGCAAGGAUUGUUGUUGGUCCAUGAACAAAAUUUCUUACAGCAAGAACCAGAAGAGAAGGCAUUGAAGGCCUCAACUGCAAAUUAUUGUUCAUCAACAGCAAGAAUGAAUAGUGGCAAAAGCAGAGGAAGGGGAACCAAUGAUCAUCGCAAUUUCAAUCAAAAAUCCGAUGGCUAUUUUUCUCGUGAUUCUCAAGGUAGAGGACGAGGACGUGGAGGUCGACACUCAACAGUUUUCAGAUCAAAGUCAGUAGACAAAUCCAAAGUGGAGUGCUUUCGAUGUCUCAGGUAUGGGCAUUACAAAUUUGAAUGUCAAACUAAUUUAAAUACACAAAGUAUGGAAAGGACUAACUUUGUAGCAAAAAAGGAAGAAGCGGAAAUUCUCCUAUUGGUGUGUCAGGAAAAGGAGAAAACUUCUUCAAACUUGUGGUAUCUUGAUACUGGUUGCAGCAACCACAUGUGUGGAGACAAGAAAUCAUUCUCUACAUUAGACGAGUCGUUCCGCACCACAGUAAAAUUCGGAGACGACUCUACCGCGCCAGCAAUGGGGAAAGGGACGGUUGCAAUUGUUCCUAAAGGGACUUCAAUACAUACCAUCAAAGAAGUGUUUUAUGUUCCAGAAUCAAAAACCAACCUCCUAAGUGUUGGCCAAUUACAAGAGAAGGGCUAUGAAAUUACACUUAAAGGAGGUUAUUUGUAGAAUCCAUGAUGAGAAAUUGGGUCUUAUUGCUCGAGUUACAAUGACUGCCAAUCGGAUGUUCCCACUACAUCUUCAUAGCACUUCCCACUCAUGCUUCGCUGCAAGAUUAAAAGAGGAAGCUUGGCUAUGGCAUUUUAGAUACGGUCAUCUCAGCUUUGGUGGACUACAGACAUUACAUCAAAAGAAGAUGGUGGAAGGACUGCCCCCAAUCACUGCUCCGUCCGAUAUAUGUGAAGACUGUGUCAUUAGCAAACAACACCGUGCUCAAUUUCCACAAGGAAAAGCAUGGAGAGCAAAGAAACCGUUGGCGCUGGUCCAUUCAGAUAUUUGCGGGCCAAUAUCUCUAGUUUCUAAUGGAGGUAAACGGUAUAUUAUCACUUUAAUUGAUGAUUAUAGCCGGAAGAUUUGGGUUUAUUUUUUGCAUGAAAAAUCUGAAGCUUUUGAAGCAUUCAGGAGCUUCAAAACACUUGCUGAAAAAGAUAAUGGGAAUCCAAUAAAAGUCCUUCGCACAGAUCGCGGUGGCGAAUACAACUCGGGUGCAUUUGCAGAUUUUUGUGGGAAGCAUGUCAUUAAGAGACAACUCACUACAGCUUAUUCACCACAGCAAAAUGGAGUUUGUGAACAGAAGAAUUGCACUAUUUUGAAUAUGGUGCGAAGUUUAUUGACAGCAAGUGGAAUUCCAAAGAGCUUCUGACCCAAAGCUGUUAAUUGGAGUAUUCAUCUUUUGAACAGAAGCCCGACUCUUGCUGUUAUGAAUAUGACACCUGAAGAAGCUUGAAGCAAACAAAAACCAGCAAUAGAUCACUUCAGAAUUUUUGGAUGUAUAGCCUAUGCUCAUGUUCCAGAUCAGAAGAGAAAAAAGCAAGAUGACAAGGGAGUUAAAUGUGUUUUUCUUGGCAUUAGUGAUCAAUCAAAAGCCUACAAGCUUUAUGAUCUUAUAACCAAGAAAAUCAUCAUCAGUCGUGAUGUGAUAUUUGAUGAAGAGCAAUUCUGGCCAUGGAGUGAGAAAGGUGUUGAAGGGCAAAUUCCAAUGAAUUUUGAAGAUGAUGAAGAGCCCACAACCAGUCGAACCAUCACAAAAAGUUCAAAAAGUCAAAACACUACUGCAAAAAUUGAAGAACGGCCACAUCGUGUUCGAAAAAGACCUGCUUGGAUGAGUGAUUAUGAAGUAACUAGGGCUGACCAAUCUGAAGAUCCACUUACCUAUUUUGCUUUGUUUUCAGAUUGUGAUCCUACAACCUAUGAUGAAGCUAUGCAAAAAGAAAAUUGGAGAAUUGCUAUGGAUGCAGAAAUUGCAGCCAUUAAGAAGAAUAAUACUUGGAAAUUGACAGAACUUCCAAGAGGACACAAAUCAAUCGGGGUCAAAUGGUUGUACAAGACGAAGUUGAAUAAAGAUGGCGAAGUUGACAAGUACAAGGCACGCUUGGUCGCAAAAGGUUACAAGCAAGAAUUUGAAGUGGAUUAUAAGGAGGUGUUUGCUCCCGUGGCAAAACUUGACACAAUCAGAUUGGUUAUUGCAUUAGCAACACAUAAAUUCAUGGCCUAUCUUCCAAUUGAAUGUGAAGUCAGCAUUCUUGCAUGGUGACAUCCAAGAAAAGGUAUUUGUUGAUCAACCUUCUGGUUAUGUGAAGCAUGGUAGUGAACAUAAAGUUUAUAGACUGAAAAAGGCAUUAUAUUGGUUAAAACAAGCUCCCCAAGCUUGGUAUAAUCGCAUUGAUGCUUAUUUUUUGAAUGAAGGAUUUAGAAAAUGUUCAUAUGAGCAUACGUUAUUUAUUAAAGUUGAUGGUGGAAUACUGCUUAUGGUAUGUUUGUAUGUGGAUGAUCUCAUCUUCACAGGGAAUAAUAGUAUCUUGAUCAACAUAUUUAAGAAGUCUAUGAUGGAUGAAUUUGAGAUGACUGAUCUUGGAUUGAUGCAUUAUUUUCUGGGCAUAGAAGUAAUCCAAUCUGCAGCUGGAAUCUUUCUUUCCCAAAAGAAAUAUGUUCAAGAAAUUUUAGACAAAUUUCAAAUGAAGAAUUGCAACUCUAUGACCACACCAACUGAGGUUGGAUUGAAGCUAUUGAAAGAUUCUUAUGGGAAAAAGGUGAAUAGCACACUUUUCAAGCAAAUUGUUGGAAGUUUAAUGUAUGUGACAGCAACGAGGCCAGAUAUCAUGCAUGGUGUGAGCCUCAUAAGCAGGUAUAUGGAACGUCCAGCAGAAAUACACUUGCAAGUUGCAAAGAGAAUUUUUCGCUACUUGUAAGGGACUACAACUUUUGGGCUUUUUUACAAAAAAGGAGAAAAAUCAGAUUUGUUUGGCUUCAUUGACAGUGAUUUUGCCAGAGAUAUGGAUGAUCGAAAAAGCACUUCUGGCUAUGUGUUUAUGUUUGGUUCAGGGGCUGUCUCAUGGUCUUCAAAGAAGCAGCCAAUUGUUACUCUAUCAACAACUAAAGUUGAGUUUGUAGCUGCCACUUCAAGUGCUUGUCAUGCUAUCUGGUUAAGAAAGAUUCUUGGAGAACUUCAAUUUAAACAACAAGAAGCGACAACAAUAUAUUGUGACAACAACUCAGCCAUUAAACUUUCAAAGAAUCCAGUUCUACAUAGAAGGAGCAAACAUAUAGAUGUGAAAUAUCAUUUCUUGAGGGAUCUCACAAAAGACAAAGUGAUAGAUCUUGUUUUCUGCAGAAGUGAAGAUCAACUUGCUGAUUUAUUCACCAAGCCUCUCAAAGUGUCUACAUUUCAAAAGCUGAGAAAGCUACUUGGUGUUUGUUCGUUGGAUGUUCCAGAUUAAGGGAGGGUUUGUUUUAUUCCUUUAAACUGUUGUCUGCAACAUCAGUUUAAGGGAGGGUGUUGAUGUAGUUAACUUUCAGUUUUUAUGUGUCAAUAGUGGAGUCCUAGUCAAUAGGAAGUGACUUGUUUUUAGGAGUUAGUUUCUGCACAUGUUCUGGUUAGUGGGGUAUGUUAGUGGGUCUUUGUUGUUGUUGUUGUUCUGUAGCUAUUUUCCUGCAAAGUGGUUUGUAUGUUCUGCCUAUUUUAUAGGCUUUCUUCUGUUGAAUAUUGUGACGAGAGUUACUGCAGCAACUCUCUUGUGUGUUUUCUUCUAUGAGUUUAUUUGAGUAAAUUUCAACAAUAGCAUCAUCAUCAACUCGACCACGGCGAUUCUGUCUUUAACUGUUAUUAGAGAGAAAAGUUAUGCAGAAGAAACAAGAAACGGAGCAGCAGAUUACUAGAAUUAGCAUGAGGAAGUGGAGCCAUAAUGAAACAGGCUCCGUUCUUUCCAGUUACUUUCUAAAAGCGGUUCCAUUAGCUCUAGCUUUCUACAAAUUCCUUCCUUUCGCAUGAUGACAAACUGAGAUCAACUACAAAUUAUAACAUAUUAACCCGAACCCAGAAAAGCUAAUGGUCUGGAACGAUCUUAGAGUUGCCAAGAACAAGAAAAAUCAAUCUUUUUGUUUUCCCGAGAAGCUACCGCUUGUAGAAGGUGGAAAACCAACUUGCGGAGGAUCAAAAGGGAGGGCGCGAGAUGAUGAUGAAGAAGAGAGACUCACGAUGUCUAUCCAAGAGAUGACGAGCCCAGAGAGAAGGACCACCGUGAAGAGGACGAAGACGGUAGCGGAAGCAGCGGAAGCCCAAGUCUUCACCGGCCUCCAAGCUUUGCCGCCGCAGCAUCCGUGCGAGCUGCUCUGCUCUUCCAUGGACGAGAGACCGACCAGCUUACUGUUCCGGCGGCAGCAGCAGAUGCAAGCAACCUGUUAAUAAGCCUCGAAACGACAGAGAUAUCAUCCCAAAAAUCACUGUCAUCAAAUUCAUAAACGUCGUUAUACUAUACUGGAAGCAUGGAAAAUUCCAGUCGUACGAAGCAUGGAAAAUUCCAGUCGCACGCUCUUCCCCGGUGCGCUCAAGAAAUUUCCCCCAAGGGACCAGGCGUUCAACUGAAGCCACAUAAAUGGAGGAAACAAAAGAAAAUGGCAAAAAAUCGAAAGCUAGGAUGUGGACGGGUUGGAAUCGCGGGCAUAUUCUGGCUUUUCUUUCUUGGAUUUCUACGUACGCACCGGGCUGGUUCGCGGGGCAUUUAUUUUUACUAGGUAGAAGUACACCCCAAAUACCAAAACUUGGCACGGAGAGAUAUUUAAGUGUCAAAACUUUGGAAAGAUACACUUAGGUGCUAAAAUAGGAGUAAAAAUGAUCAUUUAUGUGCCACUCCGGUCAAAAUCCGAUCAAAUUGCUGACGUGAUAAUUUUCCGACGAUGUGAGUGCAAAACAGCGUCAUUUUACACGCUGACGUGGCGAGAAAAUACAAAAACGAUAUCGUUUUAUCUCUGAUGUGUAAAUAAUUAAUAUAAAAAUUAAUGAAAUUAAAUUUAAAACUAAAUUUAUUUAAAAUAUUCUUAAAAAAACUUAAAAUUAAAAAAAAAAAAGGGGGCUGAAGGGAGGCGGCUGAGGGUUGAGCCCUCGCCGCUGCCGCCUCCCCACCGCCGCCGAGAAGGGCUAGCGACGAAGAGGGAGGGUCAACCGAGGUCGCCAACCCCUGGCCGACCGGCAGCGAGGGCUGCGAGCCCUCACUGGAUCUGGGCGAGGGCUCGCGGGCCCUCGUCGCCUCCCCGCUGUCACCGCAGCCCUUGCUCAGAUCCAACGAGGGCUUGCGGCCCUCAUCCCUGGUCGGCCAGGGGCCGGCGACCCCGGCUGACCCUCCCUCUUUAUCGCCGGCCCUUCCCAACAGCGUUAGGGAGGCGGCGGCAGCAAGGGCUUAGCCCUUAAUCGCCUCUCUUUGAACCCCUUUUUUUAUUUUUUAUUUUUUUAUUUUUUAGAAUAUUUUAAAUAAAUUUAGUUUUAAAUUAAAUUUAAUUAAUUUUUAUAUUAAUUAUUUACAUAUCAGAGACAAAACGACAUCAUUUUUGUAUUUUCUUACCACGUCAGCGUGCAAAAUGACGUAAGUGUUUUUUCGUGCCAAGUUUUGGCACUCCAGGUGUUCGUACCUCGUUUUUAGUCUUUGGCGAAUUUGGCGAUUCUCAGUUGAGGGGACAUCUCUGGUUGGAAUUUUUUUUUUUUUUAACUCGAUGCGGAGUUAAAUUAUUACUGCCAGACGACUUAGCGGACCAAUCCGCACAGUCCAUUGGAGGAGACGAGAGAAUUCGAGGACGUGGAUAGCCUAUGAGCAACGGCAGAGGAGAGACUCCCCAACGGCGACGUGCUUGUCAGGGGGUCGUUUGGCAUUGUUUGUCAUUUUUAAACUACAAUCGAAUGACACAUCCCCAGGGAGAGAGAGAGAGAGAGAGCACAAUAGGAAACGACAUGCAUCGGCAACGACGUUGGGGUUUUGAAUCGUGUGCUUCCCUUGGCGUUCCGUGCUUCUCGGUUAGAGUAUUGCGAGUUUGAAAGGUGUUUAGGUGAUAAACAAAGGGCUAGGAACUCCUAUAGAUAAUACCUGAGCUAAACGAUACCCUUAUCCUAGUAAAUUUUUAAUUCCUCUUGCGGGGUUUUUAGGAGUCAGACUCGUGCAUAUCCAACCCGCUCGGAUAACUUACAUUAAGGCUCCGUUCGUUUCGCGGAAAAUAACUUCCAGGAAAAUAUUUUCCGGAUUUUCCGGUGUUCGGGUGGGCGGAAAAUCACGGUCAACGGAAAACAUUUUCCAUUGACCGGAAAAUUCCUUCUUUGCAGCUUGGAAAAUGUUUUCCUCUUUUCAAAAGAGGAAAACAUUUUCCAAGCCUCGCCUCUUCUCUUCCUUCGGUUCUUGUUCUCUCUCUCUUGCUCUCCUUGCUGCGAAGUCGGCUUCGACGACGUCCUUCUCCGAGACUAGCCUCCGCCCUCCCUGGCCGCUCCUGCCCGCCUGCUCCGGCCGGGGCGCCGCCGCCACCGCCGCGCUCCGCUUCCCCGGCGGCUCGAAGCCGCUCAGGAGGAUCCGGCUCAAGAGGGAGCUCCACGGCGGCGCCGGGAGGCUCGCAGGGAGAUCUGUCACCAGAUCCGGCGAGCUCGGGUGAGAUCGGCCGAGCCUCGAGCUCGCCGGAUCUGGCGGCGGAGCUCGCGGCUCGCCGGAUCUGGCGACGGAGCUCGCGGCUCGCCGGAUCCAGGCAAGCUCGAGCUCUGUCGCCAGAUCCGACGAGCUCGGGUGAGACCGGCCGAGCCUCGAGCUCGCCGGAUCUGGCGGCGGAGCUCGCGGCUCGCCGGAUCCAGGCGAGCUCGAGCUCUGUCGCCAGAUCCGACGAGCUCGGGUGAGAUCGGCCGAGCCUCGAGCUCGCCGGAGUGGCCACCGGGUCUUGGUCGGCCGCUGGGCAGCCGGCCAUCGUCAAGCAGGAAGGAGGCGGCGGCGGCGGAACGAGGAGGAAGAAGGAGGAGGAAGGAGGCGACGGCGGACGAAGCCGCUCGGGAGGAAUCGGGAGGAAGAAGGAGGAGGAAGGAGGAAGGAAAAAAAAAAUUCUAUUUUAAAAAUAUAAAUAAUUAAAAAAAUCAUUUUUAAAAAAUAUAAAUAAAUAAAAAUAAAUUUUUUGGUCAAUUAAAAAUAUUAAAAUUCAAUUUUUGAUAAUUUUUUCAGGAAAAUGUUUGAGCUAACGAACAGUGGAAAAUAUUUUCCACUCAAAUUUUAGAUUUUGGCCGAAUACCGGAAAAUAGAGUCAUUUUCCUAGAAAAUAACUUCCAGAAAAAUGUUUUCCGGAAACAUGAUAUUUUCCGUGAAACGAACGGAGCCUUAUGUGUUUGACUAGUUAGACCGUCACGCGCGUGACUUUUAAUAAUACAAUCAGUACUUUCACGGAAUACUAGAGAAGAUUGGGAAUUUUUUGAAUUGGAGGAGUGGAAUCACAUAUGUGCACAACCAAUUAAAUUUCACCGUGUGCCACGCGUGACGUGAUGGGUUUCAAAGAUGAAAUCGUCUGGACAAAAAUUUCAACUCCAAGUCACAUCGGAUUCCAAACGAGCAAAUUAAGAGGAGGGCAAUUGCCCAUCAGAGAAAGCGAAACGUGAGAAAUGAGGUCCCCCCGAUUGUCUUCGGCCAGCAGCCUCAAUGUUCUUGACACGAACACGUUUCUUCCAUGUGAUUUGCAUGGACCCGAGGGUCAAAUCUUAUGGGCACGGUCGAAACUUCAUUCGUCAAUCCUGCGCCACAACCUUUUUGACAAUUUUUUUUUAAAAAAUCCCCAUAAGUUAAACGGUGCCAACACGAUUCAUCUUUCAUUUAUUUCGUCAUUUUCUCUGCGUGCGAUCUUAGUGGGGUUCCGCCUUUGGUAAAUUCUGGCUACCCACCUUCGGUUUUGCGCUCUAAGCAACUCGUCUGCACAGCAGAUUAAAUAUCAUUAUCUGUACUUGGAUAGUAACGGGCACUCACGUUAGAAUUGGGAACUUCGAACGAAUUAUUAUUCUCUUAAAAGUUAGCAACUCAAGAAGAGCGUCCGACAGCAGCCGUUCCUUGAUUUGACGCUUCGCUCUAUAUUAUUCAGUAAUAGGUUAGGUGGCAAAACAAUUAGGCAAUGAGGUCUCUAGUGAGGGAAGUACAGCCUAAAUGUCAAAAUUUAAUAUGUUGAGAUAUUUAAGUGUCGAAAUUUUGAAAGUACUACUUUCUUUGAAAAGUGGGACAUUUAAGUGCCGUCUCCUACGAACCUUGCCAGAAAUCCUACCUAGCAAUAUUUUAUUAUUUUUGCUUACCUAAUGGCUCGCUAGCUGACUCGACUUUAACUCACCCGAAACAACGUUGUUUGCAAAAUAAAAAUUAAACCAUCAGCUAAAAUAUUCUAAAAAAUAAAUAUUUGUAAAUAAUUAAUAUAAAAAUAAAUUUAAUUUAAUUUAAACUUAAAUUUAUUUAAAAUAUUCUAAAAAAUAAAAAACUUAUAAUUAAAAAAAAGUGGGGGCCGAAGGGAGGCGGCUGAGGGCUGAGCCCUUGCCACCGCCGCCUCCCCGCUGCGCCAAGCCUUAGCCAAGGGCCAGCAACAUCGGCCGACCGACGGUGAGGGCGCGCGAGCCCUCACCCAGAUCCGACGAGGGCUCGCGAGCCCUCGCUGCCGGUCCACAAGGGGCCGGCGAGGGCUCAUGGACCUUCGCCACCGAUCGGCCAGCUUCGCCGGGCCCUGGCCAAAGCCCAACGACCCUAGCUGAUGCUCCCCCCACCGUCACCGGCCCUUGCUGGCAACGACGGGGAGGCGGCGAGGGCCGAACACUCACCCCAGAUCUGGGUGCCCCAGAUCUAGGCGAGGGCUCGCGGGCCCUUGCCGUCGGUCGGCCACCCCAGCCGACCCUUCCCCCUCCGUCGCCGGCCCUUCCCGGCGGUGGCGGGGAGGCGGUGACGGGGAGGGCUCAGCCCUCAACCACCUCCCUUCAGCCCCCUCCCCCCUUUUUUUUAUUUUAAGUUUUUUUAUUUUUUAGAAUAUUUUAAAUAAAUCUAAGUUUAAAUUUAAUUUGAUUAAUUUUUAUAUUAAUUAUUUAUACAUCAGACACAAAGCGACGUUGUUUUUGCAUUUUCUCACCAUAUCAGCGUGCAAAACGACACCGUUUUGCACUCACCUCGCUAGAAAAUUACCACGUCAGUAAUUUGACCGAAUUUUUGUGGCACUUGAAUAAUCCAUUUUACUCCGAUUUUGGCACUUAAGGGUGCGCAUGACAACGCUUCUUGGUUGGGGAAGCGUUUUUUUUUAGAAAUAGUUCUUUUCAAUUUCUAUUGCAAGGAACAAUUUUUGAGUAAAAGAACCCGUUUGGUAACUACACAAAAUUUCUACUCUUUAAAUAGAAAAAGAAUAGAAAUGCGUUUGGUAACGUAACGAUUCUUUUUUGUAUUAUUCGUUUUUUAUUAUUGCUCACGGAUCGCCGACGGCCAACUGCCACCGCUUGCCGCCCGCCCGUCGCUGCCGCUGCACAUCCGCCGACCGUCAUCACCGACUGCCGCUGCACAGCCCAUCGGUCGCCACCUCCCGUGGCCGCCCGUCCGCCGAGGUGGCAACCGAUGGGCUAUGCGACAACGGUCGACAGUGACAGUCGGUGGCUGGCAGAUGUGCGGCGGCGACGACCGGCAACGGCAACGAGUGGUUAGAGGUGGCUGCAGCAAGAGAGAGGAAUAAAAGAAAAUUGGCUUAUUUCUAGAAGUUAUUCUCAGGAACAAGAGGCAACUUUUUUUUUUUUGCUUCUCGUUUCUGUUUCAAAUCUAUUCCCGAGAACAAAAAAAUAGAGAAAUUGUUCCCAGGAACAAAUGUUUUACCAAACGAAUUUCUGUUCUUUUUUUAUUCUGAGGAUCAAAAGAACAGAAAUUCGGAGAAACGGAAAUGUUACCAUGCAGACCCUAAGUGUACUUUUUCAAAAUUUUGACACUUAAAUAUUUUCCCGUGUCAAGUUUUAGCACUCUAAGUGUCCGUACCUCGAGGAACUUUCAAUAGUCUCACGGCCCCGCCUCUCUCUCUCUCCUCUACCUCCGCGGCCACCUAAACUUAUAUUCUAGUGCUCGUCUACCUCCGCCCCACGUUAGCUCCCCACGAGACGUAUGGCGACAAAAACGUUGAUACUUUUGCAAUGAGCUGCAAAGUCAAAAAGUCUUCAAAGAGCUCACGACUCGUAUAGCUCCACGCGCAAAACAAAACAUUUAACAAACCAGAAAGCACCCGAAAAAGGCCAAGUUGUAUUCUCUAGUUACGAAAAAGUUAGAUCAUCUUUCAAAGAAGAAAUAGCCCACCAAUUCAAUUCCUACUGACUAAAUGAAGAACUGUCGUUGCCAUCUUCACGGGGACGUCAGGCGAGCACAAAGGCCAAUAUCGUCAGGCGGUGAAGCGCUUUUCACCUGCUUUUUAACGCUUCUGGUAAUUAACAGUAACGCGUGGCGAAGGAAUCUUAUUGCCCUUCUUCCGCUUUUCAUCAAGCGUUCUGAUUCCUUGGACGAUGACGACAACAACAAAAGUAGACGUCAUUAAUGAAAACUGGAGAGUUACGGAGUUAUUCUCCUCUAUUUUCAAAGUACCGGGGAAAAGAAUAAGCGUUAAUAGAGUAACCGGAAAGAACAGAAGAUAAAGAAAUAUUUUGAAGACAACUUGGCUACAAGUUGAUGUUUCACUAUGACGACAAAAGGGGAAACAUGUCCUGUCGCUCUAGCAACCUUUUGGGCUUCUAGAUUCAAUUUUGCUUGGACGAACAAAUCUUGGGUGGAUAACUUGCACUGGGCGAUCAAGUAUUUGUCGGGAAUUCUUUCCAUUCCACCCUUGGCCGAUUUGCUUUUGCAGCCGUUUGCUACAUCAUUUGGAAGGAGUGAAAUAAUGUUCUCUUCCGGGGGAGGCCACCAUCCCUCUCAGCUAUGAAGUUGCAAUUAGAGAAGGUUGUGAGAGACAAAGCAUUGUCUUUUAACCAUCUCCCUUCCAACACCACGAACUGUAGAUUACUGCAUUGCUGGUCUAUAAACCCUUCCAUUUUGGCGGACUGAUCUACCGUCGGGUUCCUUGCUAUACCUGUGUUGUUGUUGGGGUCUUUGUUCUUUUGUCUCCUUGUUUAGGCCAUUUGGUUUGCUUUUGCCUUUGUUUUGGCAUUCCUUUGCUCCUGUGCAGGUGGGCUUGUUUUACCUUGGCACCCUUCCACUUGCUUUGACUAUUCUUGUCUUCGGGAGUGUAAGUUCUUGGUGCUAAGUUCUUGUUGUAUAGCUUCUUGCUUCUCUUUGGCUUAAGUUAAUAUAUUUCUUACCUUAGACAAAAGGGGAAACAUUUAAUCACAUAACAAGUCUCCAGAAACUUCGCGGGAUUGCAUGUUCAGAAGGUGGGACAUACAAUUUGUAUAUGAGAAGAAUAGCUAAGUGCAAAACUUAAAAACCUUUUCAGCAGUUUUAUGCGAAUCCAGAUUAGUUACGGAGGGAGUUAAAUGCUUAACCUCUACUUUCCAGUAAAUCAGAGCAUUUUUGUCACUAUUCGGAUUAACUGGACAGUCCUGAAAAUGAGUUGAACACUAAAGAAAUAUUCUCUUACAAAAAUGUAUAGUUAAAGGAAAAAUGAAAUGAUAACCAAAGCAAGAACACCUUAUGAUCAUUGACAACAUACUAUCUCAUGAUAGUAAAAGCCUCAUGAUUGAGUGGUUUUAACAGCCAAUUGUUAAAAGGGGCUGUAUCUUUUAGAGCCUUCGAAGCUGACCUGUAAGACUGAGCUCCUUCCUGUAAAAGAAUGAAAAGGGCGGGAAAGCCACAUCAAUGUCAAAAUGAGAGCAAACAAACUGUCAACGUCGAUUUCCAUUUCAUCGUUGAUGAAAUUGUUCUUUAUCAAUAGAGAGUUCUACACUUAGGUCCAUCAUCCAUUCACAGACUUAACGAGGUGCAGAAGCUGAUAACAACUGAUUAACUGCUAAAUGUUUGUUGGACAAAGCGGCCACUUCCCAUUCUGUUUUUCCACCCUCUAAACUCCUAUUGACAUGCCUGCUAUCUAAUGGGAGCUUUGGCAGUAAGAUGAAGAGUUGCAUAACUAUUUGGCUAAGGAGCUUCACCUUGUAUUCUCGAUAAGUAGUCUCCUUGCAUGGCUCAUUGGCUGUGCCCUCAUGCUUGAGUGACAAGAAUAUCUCCAAUAACCGCCUCCUGAGUGAAGAAGAAAACCAAUAUUGACAAUAAUUUUUGCACUACUGUAGUCAAAAACCGUUCAACAUAGUUUGCACUUACUUGCACAAAGAUGACUCGGUUGAUGGAUAGCGUGCCCCCUUGGCAGAGGUGCCUUGUUUCCUUCCCGUGGUUCCAAGAAUAACCUCAUGCAACCCAGACUUGUUCCAACAUAAUGAAUACCUGAAAAUGAAUGCAUAUUGUGGAAAAAAAAAAUCUAGCAGAUGCAAGCUAUUUCAGCAGAAAAAAGGAGGUUGAACUGACCCGCAUGUUAGAGUCGCCGCAGCACUCUCACAAUGCUGGAAUUCCACCAGUGGUAUUGGGCCCACCAGGAACAAUGGCUGCUAAGAGGAUAAUAAAAUUUCAGUCUUCCCCACUCCAUAUUAAUUUGCUAAUAAACAAUAAAAAAGUACAAACCUUGCUCAAUCGGAAGGGACUUAAUUGCUCUUGUGGAAAGCAUGAUAAUCUUUCAUAUAGAGCAUGCUGCAGCUUAUUCUGCACCAAAAUGUCUUCAGAAUUAUUUGGAGACCGUCCAACUAUCACAGAAGACAGGUAAACUGGUUCGAGGAAGUAGGAAAGCAAAGAACCUGAAGAGAGAGAAAUGAGAAUGCUACCAAGUAAAAGCAGUCAUUGUACCUAACUGCCAAUCUAGCAGAACAAUGAUAUCACGAAAUGCAGCCUUAUCUUAAGGCAGGGGACUGGAAAAGACAUGGAAGCCCAAGAAACAGGGAAAAUCCAAUAAAGUAGCAGGAGGUUCACUAUGUCUCAUUAUGCAAUAAGCAGCCAGCCCUAGCUUCUG